rnacentral:rRNA from 1 species
AGCGUACACGGUGGAUGCCCUGGCAGUCAGAGGCGAUGAAGGACGUGCUAAUCUGCGAUAAGCGUCGGUGAGGUGAUAUGAACCGUUAUAACCGGCGAUUUCCGAAUGGGGAAACCCAGUGUGUUUCGUCACACUAUCAUUAACUGAAUCCAUAGGUUAAUGAGGCGAACCGGGGGAACUGAAACAUCUAAGUACCCCGAGGAAAAGAAAUCAACCGAGAUUCCCCCAGUAGCGGCGAGCGAACGGGGAGGAGCCCAGAGCCUGAAUCAGUGUGUGUGUUAGUGGAAGCGUCUGGAAAGGCGUGCGAUACAGGGUGACAGCCCCGUACACAAAAAUGCACAUAUUGUGAGCUCGAUGAGUAGGGCGGGACACGUGGUAUCCUGUCUGAAUAUGGGGGGACCAUCCUCCAAGGCUAAAUACUCCUGACUGACCGAUAGUGAACCAGUACCGUGAGGGAAAGGCGAAAAGAACCCCGGCGAGGGGAGUGAAAAAGAACCUGAAACCGUGUACGUACAAGCAGUGGGAGCCUCUUAAUGGGGUGACUGCGUACCUUUUGUAUAAUGGGUCAGCGACUUAUAUUCUGUAGCAAGGUUAACCGAAUAGGGGAGCCGAAGGGAAACCGAGUCUUAACUGGGCGUUAAGUUGCAGGGUAUAGACCCGAAACCCGGUGAUCUAGCCAUGGGCAGGUUGAAGGUUGGGUAACACUAACUGGAGGACCGAACCGACUAAUGUUGAAAAAUUAGCGGAUGACUUGUGGCUGGGGGUGAAAGGCCAAUCAAACCGGGAGAUAGCUGGUUCUCCCCGAAAGCUAUUUAGGUAGCGCCUCGUGAAUUCAUCUCCGGGGGUAGAGCACUGUUUCGGCAAGGGGGUCAUCCCGACUUACCAACCCGAUGCAAACUGCGAAUACCGGAGAAUGUUAUCACGGGAGACACACGGCGGGUGCUAACGUCCGUCGUGAAGAGGGAAACAACCCAGACCGCCAGCUAAGGUCCCAAAGUCAUGGUUAAGUGGGAAACGAUGUGGGAAGGCCCAGACAGCCAGGAUGUUGGCUUAGAAGCAGCCAUCAUUUAAAGAAAGCGUAAUAGCUCACUGGUCGAGUCGGCCUGCGCGGAAGAUGUAACGGGGCUAAACCAUGCACCGAAGCUGCGGCAGCGACACUAUGUGUUGUUGGGUAGGGGAGCGUUCUGUAAGCCUGUGAAGGUGGCCUGUGAGGGUUGCUGGAGGUAUCAGAAGUGCGAAUGCUGACAUAAGUAACGAUAAAGCGGGUGAAAAGCCCGCUCGCCGGAAGACCAAGGGUUCCUGUCCAACGUUAAUCGGGGCAGGGUGAGUCGACCCCUAAGGCGAGGCCGAAAGGCGUAGUCGAUGGGAAACAGGUUAAUAUUCCUGUACUUGGUGUUACUGCGAAGGGGGGACGGAGAAGGCUAUGUUGGCCGGGCGACGGUUGUCCCGGUUUAAGCGUGUAGGCUGGUUUUCCAGGCAAAUCCGGAAAACCAAGGCUGAGGCGUGAUGACGAGGCACUACGGUGCUGAAGCGACAAAUGCCCUGCUUCCAGGAAAAGCCUCUAAGCAUCAGGUAACAUCAAAUCGUACCCCAAACCGACACAGGUGGUCAGGUAGAGAAUACCAAGGCGCUUGAGAGAACUCGGGUGAAGGAACUAGGCAAAAUGGUGCCGUAACUUCGGGAGAAGGCACGCUGAUAUGUAGGUGAAGCGACUUGCUCGUGGAGCUGAAAUCAGUCGAAGAUACCAGCUGGCUGCAACUGUUUAUUAAAAACACAGCACUGUGCAAACACGAAAGUGGACGUAUACGGUGUGACGCCUGCCCGGUGCCGGAAGGUUAAUUGAUGGGGUUAGCGGCAACGCGAAGCUCUUGAUCGAAGCCCCGGUAAACGGCGGCCGUAACUAUAACGGUCCUAAGGUAGCGAAAUUCCUUGUCGGGUAAGUUCCGACCUGCACGAAUGGCGUAAUGAUGGCCAGGCUGUCUCCACCCGAGACUCAGUGAAAUUGAACUCGCUGUGAAGAUGCAGUGUACCCGCGGCAAGACGGAAAGACCCCGUGAACCUUUACUAUAGCUUGACACUGAACAUUGAGCCUUGAUGUGUAGGAUAGGUGGGAGGCUUUGAAGUGUGGACGCCAGUCUGCAUGGAGCCGACCUUGAAAUACCACCCUUUAAUGUUUGAUGUUCUAACGUUGGCCCGUAAUCCGGGUUGCGGACAGUGUCUGGUGGGUAGUUUGACUGGGGCGGUCUCCUCCUAAAGAGUAACGGAGGAGCACGAAGGUUGGCUAAUCCUGGUCGGACAUCAGGAGGUUAGUGCAAUGGCAUAAGCCAGCUUGACUGCGAGCGUGACGGCGCGAGCAGGUGCGAAAGCAGGUCAUAGUGAUCCGGUGGUUCUGAAUGGAAGGGCCAUCGCUCAACGGAUAAAAGGUACUCCGGGGAUAACAGGCUGAUACCGCCCAAGAGUUCAUAUCGACGGCGGUGUUUGGCACCUCGAUGUCGGCUCAUCACAUCCUGGGGCUGAAGUAGGUCCCAAGGGUAUGGCUGUUCGCCAUUUAAAGUGGUACGCGAGCUGGGUUUAGAACGUCGUGAGACAGUUCGGUCCCUAUCUGCCGUGGGCGCUGGAGAACUGAGGGGGGCUGCUCCUAGUACGAGAGGACCGGAGUGGACGCAUCACUGGUGUUCGGGUUGUCAUGCCAAUGGCACUGCCCGGUAGCUAAAUGCGGAAGAGAUAAGUGCUGAAAGCAUCUAAGCACGAAACUUGCCCCGAGAUGAGUUCU